ensembl:lncRNA
GGCAAACGAAGGAAAGUAGAAAAAACAACAAACGAAAAGGAAAACCUUUAAAGCUAGUUUAGGCCUCUCUCUUUCAUGCCACACCGCUAUCAAGUGUUCACUUCAAAUCUUCUUUGGCCAUAGAACUGACUGGCUGUCCUGGGCUGCAUACAGAACUUCUUCACGUGUGUCUGACUUUUAUGAGGUGGGGUUAGUCAGAGAUGGGCGCAUGCGUGACUGAGUCUGUGUGUGUGUGUGGUUAUGCGUGUGUUGGAGAGAAUGUGGUGUGAGCAACCAUGUGUCUGACCAAUCUAUAUGUGUUGUAAAAUGAAUCUGUGUGUGUGUAUAUGCGUGAGUGUGUAUGUGUGAGUGUGUGAGUGUAUAUGUGUGCGUGUGUGAGUGUGUGUGAGUGUGUGUGUAUGUGUGUGUGUGUAUGUGUGAGUGUGUAUGUAUGAGUGUAUAUGUGUGAGUGUGUAUAUGUGUGAGUGUGUAUAUGUGUACACAUCUGUGUUCCCCGGGGACGGCUCUAAAAAUACUCUGCUCCUCAAGCCUUGUGGUGUCUGUCUGCUCUCCAUCGUUGUCCCUGCAGCCCUCCUCCUCUCCUCUGCUCCUCAAGCCUUGUGGUGUCUGUCUGCUCUCCAUCGUUGUCCCUGCAGCCCUCCUCCUCUCCUCUGCUCCUCAAGCCUUGUGGUGUCUGUCUGCUCUCCAUCGUUGUCCCUGCAGCCCUCCUCCUCUCCUCUGCUCCUCAAGCCUUGUGGUGUCUGUCUGCUCUCCAUCGUUGUCCCUGCAGCCCUCCUCCUCUCCUCUGCUCCUCAAGCCUUGUGGUGUCUGUCUGCUCUCCAUCGUUGUCCCUGCAGCCCUCCUCCUCUCCUCUGCUCCUCAGCUCCCAUCCCGCCAUCCCUCAAUUACACCCCCUCACAAACACUGUGGCCUCUCUCUCACAAACGCACACACUACACCCAGCUGCGUCCCUGCUCCACUUCCUCUGAGGAUGGCCUCCAGUCUGGCAGACCACAGCCCAGAAAGAACGAGUUGGAGAGAAAGGGAGAGCAGGAAAAGAGGGAGGAAGAGGGGUAGAGAGAACAGGAGAAAGGGAGAGCAGGAAAAGAGGGAGGAAGAGGGGUAGAGAGAACGGGAGAAAGUGAGAGCAGGAAAUAGGUGGAGAUGGAAUCAGGGCCAAUGUUCUGUGAAUAAUAGGUGAGGAGAUGGAAUCAGGGACAAUAUCCCAUGAAUAAUAGUUGAGGAGAUGGAAUCAGGGACAAUAUUCUGUGAAUAAUAGGUGAGGAGAGGGAAUCUGGGACAAUAUUCUGUGAAAAAUAGGUGAGGAGAUGGAAUCAGGGACAAUGUUCUGUGAAUAAUAGGUGGAAAUGGAAUCAGGGACAAUGUUCUGUGAAAAAUAGGUGAGGAGAUGGAAUCAGGGAGAAUUUGCCAUGAAUAAUCAGACUUCUAUCAUUAGCAUUCCCAGUUACAGGGAGGCUUUGCAACUGACCAAGACAUAGUAACUAACACACCAAGACAUAGUAACCAAGACAUAGUAACUAACACACCCAGACAUAGUAACUAACACACCAAGACAUAGCAACCAAGACGUAGUAACUAACACACCAAGACGUAGUAACCAAGACAUAGCAACCAAGACGUAGUAACCAACACACAAAGGCAUAGUAACCAACACACCAAGACAUGGUAACCAACACACCAAGACAUAAUAAUCAACACACCAAGACAUAGCAACCAAGACGUAGUAACCAACACACCAAGACGUAGUAACCAAGACAUGGUAACCAACACACCAAGACAUGGUAAACAACACACCAAGUCAUAGUAACCAACACACCAAGACGUAGUAACCAACACACCAAGACGUAGUCACCAACACACCAAGACAUAGUAACCAACACACCAAGACGUAGUCACCAACACACCAAGACGUAGUCACCAACACACCAAGACGUAGUCACCAACACACCAAGACGUAGUCACCAACAC